rnacentral:snoRNA from 1 species
UUCCAAUGAUGAUAAUCUUAUUCAGUUCUGCUUCUGAAACAGAAUGAAGAUACUUUAUACCAAAUCCAAAAUAUCUGAUGC